UACGUAGGGACCAAGCGUUGUUCGGAUUUACUGGGCGUAAAGGGCGCGUAGGCGGCAAUUCAAGUCAGCUGUGAAAUCUCCGAGCUUAACUCGGAAAGGUCAACUGAUACUGUGCGGCUAGAGUGCGGAAGGGGCAACUGGAAUUCUUGGUGUAGCGGUGAAAUGCGUAGAUAUCAAGAGGAACACCUGCGGCGAAGGCGGGUUGCUGGGCCGACACUGACGCUGAGGCGCGAAAGCCAGGGGAGCGAACGGG
rnacentral:rRNA from 1 species